UACAGAGGGGGCAAGCGUUGUUCGGAAUUACUGGGCGUAAAGGGCGCGUAGGUGGCCUUCUAAGUUGAACGUGAAAUCCCUGGGCUCAACCCAGGAACUGCGUCCAAGACUGGGAGGCUUGAAUCCGGGAGAGGGAUGCGGAAUUCCAGGUGUAGCGGUGAAAUGCGUAGAUAUCUGGAGGAACACCGGUGGCGAAGGCGGCUCACUGGCUCAUUACUGACGCUCAGGCGCGAUAGCGUGGGGAUCAAACAGG
rnacentral:rRNA from 1 species